rnacentral:rRNA from 1 species
GACGAACGCUGCGGCGUGCUUAACACAUGCAAGUCGAACGAAGAGCGACGGAAGCUUGCUUCUAUCAAUCUUAGUGGCGAACGGGUGAGUAACGCGUAAUCAACCUGCCCUUCAGAGGGGGACAACAGUUGGAAACGACUGCUAAUACCGCAUACGAUCUAAUCUCGGCAUCGAGGAUGGAUGAAAGGUGGCCUCUACAUGUAAGCUAUCACUGAAGGAGGGGAUUGCGUCUGAUUAGCUAGUUGGAGGGGUAACGGCCCACCAAGGCGAUGAUCAGUAGCCGGUCUGAGAGGAUGAACGGCCACAUUGGGACUGAGACACGGCCCAGACUCCUACGGGAGGCAGCAGUGGGGAAUCUUCCGCAAUGGACGAAAGUCUGACGGAGCAACGCCGCGUGAGUGAUGACGGCCUUCGGGUUGUAAAGCUCUGUUAAUCGGGACGAAAGGCCUUCUUGCGAAUAGUAGAAGGAUUGACGGUACCGGAAUAGAAAGCCGGUA